GCUUUCCUGUGGCUCAGUUGGUAGAGCAUUGUGCAAACAAGGCAAGGUCCAGGGUUCAAAUCCCAGAGAAAGCA
rnacentral:tRNA from 1 species